UACGUAGGGCGCAAGCGUUGUCCGGAAUUAUUGGGCGUAAAGAGCUCGUAGGUGGCGUGUCGCGUCUGCCGUGAAAGCCCAUGGCUUAACUGUGGGUCUGCGGUGGAUACGGGCAGGCUGGAGGCUGGUAGGGGCAAGCGGAAUUCCUGGUGUAGCGGUGAAAUGCGCAGAUAUCAGGAGGAACACCAAUGGCGAAGGCAGCUCGCUGGGACGUGACUGACGCUGAGGAGCGAAAGCGUGGGGAGCGAACAGG
rnacentral:rRNA from 1 species